AUUGAACGCUGGCGGCAGGCCUAACACAUGCAAGUCGAGCGGAUGAGUGGAGCUUGCACCUUAUCUUAGCGGCGGACGGGUGAGUAAUGCUUAGGAAUCUGCCUAUUAGUGGGGGACAACAUUCCGAAAGGAAUGCUAAUACCGCAUACGCCCUACGGGGGAAAGCAGGGGAUCUUCGGACCUUGCGCUAAUAGAUGAGCCUAAGUCGGAUUAGCUAGUUGGUGGGGUAAAGGCCUACCAAGGCGACGAUCUGUAGCGGGUCUGAGAGGAUGAUCCGCCACACUGGGACUGAGACACGGCCCAGACUCCUACGGGAGGCAGCAGUGGGGAAUAUUGGACAAUGGGCGGAAGCCUGAUCCAGCCAUGCCGCGUGUGUGAAGAAGGCCUUUUGGUUGUAAAGCACUUUAAGCGAGGAGGAGGCUACCUGGAUUAAUACUCUAGGAUAGUGGACGUUACUCGCAGAAUAAGCACCGGCUAACUCUGUGCCAGCAGCCGCCGUAACAC
rnacentral:rRNA from 1 species